rnacentral:rRNA from 1 species
GCUUACCAAGGCGACGAUGGGUAGCCGGCCUGAGAGGGUGUACGGCCACACUGGAACUGAGAUACGGUCCAGACUCCUACGGGAGGCAGCAGUGGGGAAUAUUGGUCAAUGGGCGAAAGCCUGAACCAGCAAUGCCGUGUGGGGUGAUGAAGCUUUUUGGAGUGUAAACCCCUUUUAUGAGGAAAGAAGAUAAUUCGGUUAAUACCUGAGUUAUUUGACGGUACCUCAUGAAUAAGCCCCGGCUAACUCCGUGCCAGCAGCCGCGGUAAUACGGAGGGGGCAAGCGUUAUUCGGAAUUACUGGGCGUAAAGGGCGUGUAGGCGGCCUAGCAGGUCAGAUGUGAAAUCCCCGGGCUUAACCCGGGAAUUGCGUUUGAAACCGUUGGGCUUGAGUCUGGGAGAGGAAAGCGGAAUUCCUGGUGUAGCGGUGAAAUGCGUAGAUAUCAGGAGGAACACCGGUGGCGAAAGCGGCUUUCUGGACCAGUACUGACGCUGAGACGCGAAAGCGUGGGUAGCAAACGGGAUUAGAUACCCCGGUAGUCCACGCCGUAAACGAUGAGCACUAGAUGUAGCGGAAGUUUUCUGCUGUGCCGCAGCUAACGCAAUA